rnacentral:misc_RNA from 1 species
UGCUCCAUGACUUUUGGGUCAAUGUCUAGGAAACACUCUGAGCCAAUGAUCUUGUGGAAGCUCUCAUUGAUCUCAUUCAAUAUUCUCUCAGCAAGAGCAUCAAAAUGGCUUGAAAACCACUAUUCUGUCUACUUGAUCAAAGAAAUCUCGCAACCAAGCCUUGGAGUUACCAGACAUGCAGUCAUUAUCAGAAUUUCCAUCAUCAGUGCCUAGCUC